ensembl:lncRNA
AAUGUGCACGUUCCGCUUCGGUAGCCUGGGGUUUGCCGGUUCGGAUCCCGGGUGCGGACAUGGCACCGCUUGGCAAGCCAUGCUGUGGCAGGCAUCCCACAUACAAAAUAGAGGAAGAUGGGCAUGGAUGUUAGCUCAGGUCAGUCUUCCUCAGCAAAAAAAAGAGGAGGAUUGGCAGCAGAUGUUAGCUCAGGGCUAAUCUUCCUCAAAAUAAAUACAUAAAUGAAGAUUGAAAUUAAAAAAAAAAAAGAAAAGAAAUGCAAGCACCAAAAAGAGUUCAGAAGGGAAGGAGGAGACCUGGGCUGUACCGUGGAGGAGCUCCUGGUUUACGGAGUACGGGGGGAGACACUGCCAUGAGCAUGAAGGCAAACUGAGAGAAAAACCUACAAAGGAUCCCUCUCAGCUGUCUGGUGGGGAAGAGUGGAGUCAAGAGGAGAGGAGAGGAAAGGGGGCUGCCAGCCAUGAGGCCCACAUGUUUCAGCCGAAGCCACUUGAAGCCACGUGGACAGAGGGACCCACAGCAUCCUCUCUAGCAGGACAGCUGUUGUGGCGCCCUGGCCAUCCCAAAAGCUCCAGCAUUCCAUUUCAAGGAUCUCUUGCUGGCUUCCCUCCUACCAUCAUUCCUCUGAGAGAACGUGGCCUUGAGAACAAGGAGUGGAGAGCUGCCAGCUACUGCCACCUGACACAGAGCCUCAUUGCCCUUGCCUGUCUCCUUCCCCUGUCCAUCUUCAGUGUAGGGUCAAGAAGUGGGCCACUCCUUCCUUUUAUCCGAGGUGGACUUCUUGUUUUCUCCCCCCAGAGGUUGCCACGUGUCUAAUUGCCCAUCAAGCUAGAGUGGUGGAGGGAAAUUGGUAUCAAAGAGUUUUUGCUGAAUGCUUGAAUGGACGACGGCUUAGAGAACUGACUGAAGUUUGAGCGGGAAACAGGAAGACAAGGCCAACGUCAUUUAGCCCACCAAAUACCCUCAUGCCCUUUGGGAAGAAGAAAGAUGAAUAUGGAAGAAGCAGAAAAGGAUGAGUUUAAAUUGAGGCAUAAAGAACAUAGAACUAAAUAAGUAAGACCUCAAAAGUCCCUUAGUCAUCAUCUAAUCCAGACCUUUAUUUUUUUAGCAGAGGGCAUCAAACCCCCAAGGGGAUCGUGACCUUAGUGACCUCCUUAAGAUCACAGGGCCAGAGUGAGGCCUUGGGUCUCUUGACUAUUUUGAUCUCAACGAGAUGUUGGUCUCCUCUUCUCCACAUUCACCUCAAACUCAUUUAUUCCAGAAAACUACCUUACCUAACCCAGGGGUCCAGUUAGCACCAAAGUGAUCUAAACUAACCUUGAGUUUACUGUCCUUGGGUCCAUUUUGGCAAUUGCCUCGUGGCCUCAAGACUACCCCCACUUAGAAAGAAUGGGUGAGGGUAGCCAAAGCCAAAUGUACAGGGCCAGUUUUACCCCAGGCUGGCCCAGGAGAGGUUUGGCUUGGGUUAUUACCAAGGUGCGAGGUCUCACCUCCUAGGAGUUUGUUCCAGGGGUCUGCAGUCAUCGGAAUACGCAGUCUUGAGCAGAGGUGUCUAGACCUUGUCGAAUGAUCAGAGACCGGGACGUGAACACACAUUUUACCCCUUUAUAAUGACUUGGGUGUGCCAAACAGGACCCAUCACCCCCAAGUCCUAGCCUAGGAUUUUCUAACCAAGUAUAUAGUUAGAGGAAAAUGUAAUCCACGUGUAUCUGACUCACUCAUCCCUAAAUUAUCCUAAAGUUCCAUUCUGGGAAUGGUUUGAUAUGUACUCUGCUUUUUUUCAUCUUUUGGAAUCUUGAAUUGGCCAAGACAAAAUAAAAAGCCAUCCUGAGAGAUGGAAGGACUCUUCAAGUAGAGGCAUGACCUGUAGGCUCCUCCCCAAGGCCUCCUGGGACAGGAAGCCCAGCAGGGCAGGGAGCAUGCCAGAACCCAGAAACAUACCUUUAUUAGUCAUCUCCCAGCUCCCCUUCUGCUUGUACUUCUGCGAUGCUGUGCCCUACUGAGGAAAAUCACCCAGUGCGGAAGAUGGUGUCACUACAGAUUUAUGGCAUCUGGACUCUGUUGCACCCCCAAGAGUACGGAGAGAUCCCAUCAGGUGAGUCUCCAAGGACAUUCCAGACCUUCACCACGCUUCUCAACACCCCAAAUCCUUUUCUCAAUGAUUUUCUCUUUUGCAGAGAAAAGUGAGUCCAUCAAGAAAGAAUUUUCUCCCCUUCCUGUCACGCUCUACAAACCUAUCUGCCUCAGCACCCUCCUGCUCAAUUAGGGCCAUUUCUGAAGGGCCAGCCCAGCUUCAGAGCUCCCUGUGGUCCCAGUUGCAUCAUUCUUCAACUCCCCUCUCCGCCGUUUCCGCUUCCUUUGCCCCCUCACUCAGUAGGUGUUCUUCCCAAGACCACCCCCCAGUAAUUCUCCUACGUGAAAAUCACACGGUCUGUUUCUUGGCGAACCCAACUAAGAUGAGAAAGAGUGUUUCAGGCAGUGGGAACAUGCAAUGGCGUCCAAUUUCUUCCUGUGUCCUCUGGGACCUUGUUCCAUGAUCCCCUCUUUUUUGCUGAAUCUUCAAACUCCACCUCUCCUUAGCGUAUAUACUUAUUCAAGUCUUUCCCACAUUAAAACACAAAAAUUAAACCUUCCUUUCACCCGAAGCCCCUCUCCAGCUGUUACCCCAUACAUAUUCCCUUUUGGUCAAGCUUCUCAAGAAAGUAGAUGGUCAUUACUCCCUUCAUCUCACAUUUACUCCUCAACUCAUUGUGGUCGGCAUCCACUGUCAACAAUGAAAGACUCUUUGAAGUCACCAGCAGUAGGUGCUUUUCAGUCUUCGUUGCUUGACUUGUCAGCCAUAUUUGAUGCCAUUGACCUUCCUCUCAAUCUCCACUUCCUUUGCUCCUUUGGUUUGUGUUCUUUUCUGAAUCUCUUUCUACUACUUAGGAGAUCUGUUUAGUCUCUGUUGUGUCCCCCUCACCCCCUGUCCCACUACAUCCAUAAAUGUUGGUUGGGAUUUCCCGUAUCUCUCCAUGGCUGUCUGUGCCUUCUUCUCUUCUCACUCUACACACUCCCCACUCCCGAUAAGCUACUCCCUCAAGCUCCUGACCUGAAUCUGCACUUCUAGCCAAGGUCUCUCUUCUGAACUCCAUCUUAAGUUCUAUGAGAUAAAACAGGACUCAUUAGCAGGACUCUGUCUACCCUUGAAUCUGCUCACCUUUCUGAACACCCCCAUCUUGGGGAAGGAUGUCAACGUUUCCCUAGGGCCUCUGCCUUAUCCCUGGCAUUCAAUCAGUCACCAAGUCCUGCCAACUUGACCGCUUAAGCAUCCAUCCUCUCUGCUCUGGCUCCAUUCCUACUGCCUUGGUCCAGGCUCUCACUUCUUGAUGGCUAUUGCUAUGGUCUCCUAAUGGUUUCCUUUCAGCCACUCUUGACCAUGCCCAAUCCAUACUAUACAUAGAAGCAAGAGUGAUAUUUCUAUAAAACAAAUCUUGUGCAUCAUUCCUUUACUUAAAAUUCUUCAGAAGCUUCUCAUCACUCUCAGGAUAAAAUCUAAAUUCUUCAGUAUAACAUAAAAAAUCCUGUAUGAUCUAGUUCCUGUCUGUCAGUGCAGCCUCAUUUCUCCUUCCCGUUCCCCCUCUCCAUGCUACGGCAACACUGAAAUUCAUUGUUCUAACUCCCACAACACAGUAGAUUUUCUCUUUAAGUCUAAACUUCUUGAGAGCAGUGUUCAUAUCUUUUCAUCUCUGGAUCUUCUAUACAAAGUACAGGGCCUGGCAUAGAGCAGGCACUCAAUACAUGUUUAAUUAGCACUAACGCCUAGCUUUUAUUGAACACUUUCGGUAAGGCCAGGCAACGUGCUAAGCACUUUAACAUACAUUGUGUCAGUUAGUUCACACAACUACAAUUACUGUUAGGUAGGUGUCAUUAUCCCUAUUUUAAAGAUGAGAAAACUGAGACAUAGAGAGGUUAGGUAGCUCUCCCAAGCUGGUAAGUGGCUCAGAAGAGACGUGAACCAUACUCUUAAUUAAGCACGAGUGUGAGCUGCUAUGCCAUUCAUGCUGAUGAAAGUUCAGUGUAGGGAUUCUGGGUGCAGCUCUUGGGAGCUGCCUUACGCACUGUCUGUCUGACACCAGUCCAUCCAGUGCUUGCACGGGCCUCUACCUAUUAACUUGGGCCUUGAGGCUUGCACUCGGUGAACAAGAUUUCAGCAUUCCCAGUUCAGCCAGUCUUUGCUCCCAUAUCAAAAUCCUUUGCCACUGCUACAGUUCUACCGUGCUGCCCAGACUCUUCCAGAUCUGGCACCUGGUCUCCUGGCUUCUGGCUGAGAGCUCUGCCUCCUGACCAUGCAGACCUACAGCCAGUAACACUCAACAAUGCUUGGUUUCUCAGGCUUGUCUGGCCAGUAGGUCUGUCUUGGUGUGCACCCCAGUCCACAUCCCCAGCUCUGAUCUGAUUGCUUCCCAUGUAGACCAGCACUCUUAGCAUGCUGGGCCCCAGCCAGCGCCGUCCUUGCCUUGCUGUCAGUCACUCUGCCUGAGCUGAGACCUUGCUCCCUGCUCCCACUGCCAGCAGCUCAGGGACCAGACAGCAGGAGAAGCGGAGAGGUGAGGGACCACUUAGAAAGGCCUGUGACUGCCAGUCAGGGGCGUGCUGAGACUGUGGGGACGGGUGGGGCUGCAUCUACAGGUCUUCAUCCCCACACCUGCAGUUGGAGAGCUCACAGCUGAACUCUGGAGCCACCGGCCCACUAGCUAUGCUUCCUUCUCAGUCACUGUUUGUUUCUCAGUAUGGCAAAGUUACAAUGCAAGUACAGUGACGUGUUCUUGACUAACAGGACUGAUACUUUGUGACCAGCUUUUAUUGUGAUGUUAAUGAUAAUUUGUACCUGGCUCUAAUUAUUAUAUUAACAAUAUGCAGUCCUUGAUGAGUAAGAGUUGCACUUCAGAAAUAAGGCCAGAUUGAUCUGAGCAGUGAAACUAUUUUAAAUGAUAAAGCUUCAAUUUUGUAAGUCAUUUUUAUUAUAAAGCACUUUCAUACAUAUCAUCUCGUUUCAACUGGGUUAAAAUAGUUUUUUUAAUACAACAAAGGGGAAUAGGGCUCAGAUUUAAAAUCGCGUCCUAUUCGUCCAUCACUGUUGAAGGCAACAGCACUAAUCCCAGAGACUUAAUAUACAACAUUUGAGUAAUCUUUCCAGCAACCACAAAAGAUGGGAAUUAUCCCCAUUUUAGAGACAGGAGAAGUUAGGUAAAUUGCCCACUGUCCCACAGCUAAUAACAGAAAAGCCAGGAGCUGAAAUCAGGUCUGCCGGAUGCUAACGCUUACGUGCUCCUGCUGGGCCCCUCUGCCCACCGCCGGGCCUUGUUGCAGGCUGUGCACGGUUCCAGUGGUCUCCCGCUGUACUCUGGGCUCCAGCGCAGGAUUAAACGUCACCACCUCCCCACCAGGGUGUCGUGAGCUUUUGUGUCUUAAACACAACUUCCUGGUGUUAACCUCCAGUCCCUCUGUUGGGAUGCUGGCC